GAGGAAGUGAUGCAUAUCAUGUUGGAAACAACAGCUCCAGAGAGACACAGCCGGGGAAAGAGAAACACUACACUGGCUGUUCAACGCUUUUCUUUCACUGAAUUCCUCUUUUGACACCUGGAUAAAUUGCAGUGUUUUGUGGAAAUUUGAUGGGAAGAAAAAUGGGGAGGAAUCAGAUGCAGGAAAAACUCCCGAGGAUGGUAUGAGGAAGAAACCUUGAGAAGAACUAAAUGGGGAACCUCAUUCUCAUUCAGGUGGCACCAAGAGUGUGAGUUAAAAAAUCAUAAAAACCACAACACAAACAUUUGGAAGUGAGAAAUAUGUGAUUAUAAAUAAUGUCCUUUUUACAGGAUCUAAAUAACAAUUGUACAAUGUCUAGAAACAUAUAAAUAAUCACACGUAGCAUCAAAGAAAGUCAUUUUUAUUUCCCCAAAAAGCAAACCACAUUCUGAAACCCUUCUAAUUUCCAUAAUCAUUAAGAAAGUAAUUAGCAGCCAGAUGUUACUUACAAUCAACAUGCACAUGAUUAUUCAAUCAUCAGGAAGUGUGAAUAUUUCUAGAAAAGAAGACCUUUUGGUGCUGAGGUGUUCUGGAUCACUUGGGUGUGUGUCUACAUCAUGUGAUUAGUCGUAUAUAUCCAUAUAUGUGUGUGUAAGAAAUGUAAAGUUAUGUAUGUGCUUGUUUAUAGUUUUGUUGAUAUCCAUAACAUGGUCAUUUGAAGGCUGAUAAAAAAAAUCAUACAGGUUUACAGAGACCUGGACUGGACUUGGUCCUGGACUCUGAGCUUUACAUAUUCAAACAUCUAAUAUCCUCUGAAAGUCAAUUAGGUCCCAGUGCGCUCCACCUGAGGCCUGUAAAAAAAGGGGUCCAGGGAUUGUUAUUAGUCAGAACUUUCUAAAAUGAUGAUAACUGCUGAAGCAGGUACAGGUGCAGUCAAUGGCAAUCUGCUAGCACACCUGUGACCUACUGUAUGUGCUCGAGCUUCUACGCUCCCAUCGAUCCUCUUUAAUUGGUUCUCGGAGAGCAAACAGCAGACGUAAGCAAGGAGAGCACAGAGCCUCCUCCAGUAUACUGAUCAUCUGAAAUUCUCACGGGUGUUUUGUUUUUUUUUUUAUCCAAGAGUUGAUUUCAAUUAAAAAUCUUGCCGACUCCACACAUAAACCAGAAUGGAGAAUGAGCACAGAUCACCAACAAGCUGAAUCACAUCCACUGGUAACUGAAGGUGGGUAAGAGUCAGGAUGCAAUUCUUUACUUCUCUGUGUCUCAUGCGUUUCUACUUGCUCCACUUUCACACUGUAAUAUCUUAAAUUCUAAUGUGUAAAUUUACUACAUCAGAUUUCAGUAUAAUACACACAUUAUACAGCAUGUGCACUCAUUAUAAUAGUUAUAAAUAGGACACUAUGUAUUAUAUUAUUUUACUAAUACUGAUCUUUAGCAUUUUUUAUCUUUAAACUAAUGUUUAAGUCUUCUACAAAAUAUUUCAUGAGUAAUAAAGUUUCUGCUAUUUGACAUCCAAAUAAACUCAUUUGCAUCAUUGGAUGACCAAA